AGCGAACGCUGGCGGCAGGCUUAACACAUGCAAGUCGAGCGGGCAUCUUCGGAUGUCAGCGGCAGACGGGUGAGUAACACGUGGGAACGUACCCCUCGGUUCGGAACAACUCUGGGAAACUGGAGCUAAUACCGGAUACGCCCUUAUGGGGAAAGGUUUACUGCCGAAGGAUCGGCCCGCGUCUGAUUAGCUAGUUGGUGGGGUAACGGCCUACCAAGGCGACGAUCAGUAGCUGGUCUGAGAGGAUGAUCAGCCACACUGGGACUGAGACACGGCCCAGACUCCUACGGGAGGCAGCAGUGGGGAAUAUUGGACAAUGGGCGCAAGCCUGAUCCAGCCAUGCCGCGUGAGUGAUGAAGGCCUUAGGGUUGUAAAGCUCUUUUGUCCGGGACGAUAAUGACGGUACCGGAAGAAUAAGCCCCGGCUAACUUCGUG
rnacentral:rRNA from 1 species